rnacentral:misc_RNA from 1 species
AACGCACAUUGCGCCCGCCAGCACUCUGGCGGGCACGCCUGUCCGAGCGUCAUUACAACCCUCAGGGCCCCCCUACGGGCCCUGGCGCUGGGGAUCAGCCUCCCGGCUGGCCCCGAAAUCCAGCGGCGGUCGCCCGCGACCUCCCCCGCGCAGUAGCGAUACCUCGCGGCGGGAUAGCGGGACGGCCACGCCGUAAAACCCCCAACCACCCAGUGUUGACCUCGGAUCAGGCGGGACUACCCGCUGAACUUAA